rnacentral:rRNA from 1 species
CCUACGGGCGGCAGCAGUGGGGAAUAUUGGACAAUGGGGGGAACCCUGAUCCAGCCAUGCCGCGUGUGUGAAGAAGGCCCUCGGGUUGUAAAGCACUUUCAGUGAGGAAGAACGCCUGGUGGUUAAUACCCAUCAGGAAAGACAUCACUCACAGAAGAAGCACCGGCUAACUCCGUGCCAGCAGCCGCGGUAAUACGGAGGGUGCGAGCGUUAAUCGGAAUUACUGGGCGUAAAGCGCGCGUAGGUGGCUUGAUAAGCCGGUUGUGAAAGCCCCGGGCUCAACCUGGGAGCGGCAUCCGGAACUGUCAAGCUAGAGUGCAGGAGAGGAAGGUAGAAUUCCCGGUGUAGCGGUGAAAUGCGUAGAGAUCGGGAGGAAUACCAGUGGCGAAGGCGGCCUUCUGGACUGACACUGACACUGAGGUGCGAAAGCGUGGGUAGCAAACAGGAUUAGAUACCCUGGUAGUC